UACGUAGGGCGCAAGCGUUGUCCGGAAUUAUUGGGCGUAAAGAGCUCGUAGGCGGCUUGUCACGUCGGGUGUGAAAGCCCGGGGCUUAACCCCGGGUCUGCAUUCGAUACGGGCUGGCUAGAGUGUGGUAGGGGAGAUCGGAAUUCCUGGUGUAGCGGUGAAAUGCGCAGAUAUCAGGAGGAACACCGGUGGCGAAGGCGGUUCUCUGGGCCUUACCUGACACUGAGGAGCGAAAGCGUGGGGAGCGAACAGG
rnacentral:rRNA from 1 species